UAACAAGGAUUCCCUCAGUAACGGCGAGUGAAGCGGGAAGAGCUCAAAUUUAAAAUCUGGUUUGCUUGCAAGCCCGAGUUGUAGUCUGAAGAAACGUUUUCCAUAAGCACUGAGGCAAAAGUCCCUUGGAACAGGGCAUCAUAGAGGGUGAGAAUCCCGUCCAUGGUCUCAAGUUGUUUAUUUUGUGAUACGUUUUCAAAGAGUCAGGUUGUUUGGGAAUGCAGCCUAAAAUGGGUGGUAAAUUUCAUCUAAAGCUAAAUAUUGGCGAGAGACCGAUAGCGAACAAGUACCGUGAGGGAAAGAUGAAAAGAACUUUGAAAAGAGAGUUAAAAAGUACGUGAAAUUGUUGAAAGGGAACCGUUUGAAGCCAGUCUUACUUGCCUGUGAUCAAUUUUUGCCUCGGCAUGAAUGCACUCUCGGGUAUGGUAGGCCAACGACAGUUUGGAAUGCGAGAAAAAAAUAGGGGAAAUGUGGCCUUCGGGUGUUAUAGUCCCUUAUAAAAUAUCGUGUUCUGGACUGAGGAUCGCAGCAAAAAUGUGGGCAGGUGGAUUUCUGUGGUAACUGUCGGUUAGGACAACUUGUUGACCUAGUCUUCCUUAGCCUCACUAUUUACCUCGCUUCUAAUUUGCUUAGGUCGUUGGCAUAAUGGCUUUAAAUGA
rnacentral:rRNA from 1 species